rnacentral:rRNA from 1 species
GUAAGGAAUAUUGGACAAUGGACGCAAGUCUGAUCCAGCCAUGCCGCGUGAAGGAUUAAGGUCCUCUGGAUUGUAAACUUCUUUUAUAAGGGACGAAAAAAGGCUUUUCUAAGUCGUCUGACGGUACCUUAUGAAUAAGCACCGGCUAACUCCGUGCCAGCAGCCGCGGUAAUACGGAGGGUGCAAGCGUUAUCCGGAUUCACUGGGUUUAAAGGGUGCGUAGGCAGGCAGGUAAGUCAGUGGUGAAAUCCUAGAGCUUAACUCUAGAACUGCCAUUGAUUCUAUCUGUCUUGAAUAUUGUGGAAGUAAGCGGAAUAUGUCAUGUAGCGGUGAAAUGCUUAGAUAUGACAUAGAACACCUAUUGCGAAGGCAGCUUACUACGCAUAUAUUGACGCUGAGGCACGAAAGCGUGGGGAUCAAACAGGAUUAGAAACCCUGGUAGUCC